rnacentral:rRNA from 1 species
GAUCCUGGCUCAGGAUGAACGCUGGCGGCGUGCCUAACACAUGCAAGUCGAACGAAGCUUGACGGAUGAUUUCUUCGGAAUGAAACCAGAUAUGACUUAGUGGCGGACGGGUGGAGUAACACGUGAGCAACCUGCCUUUUCAGAGGGGGGAUAACGGCUGGAAACGGUCGCUAAUACCGCAUGAUGUGUUCGGAUGGCAUCAUCUGAACAUCAAAAGAUUUAUCGCUGAAAGA